UCUCAGUUCGGAUUGCAGGCUGCAACUCGCCUGCAUGAAGUCGGAAUUGCUAGUAAUCGCGGAUCAGCAUGCCGCGGUGAAUACGUUCCCGGGCCUUGUACACACCGCCCGUCACACCAUGAGAGCCGGUAACACCCGAAGUCAGUAGUCUAACCGCAAGGGGGACGCUGCCGAAGGUGGGGCUGGUGAUUGGGGUGAAGUCGUAACAAGGUAUC
rnacentral:rRNA from 1 species